rnacentral:lncRNA from 1 species
CUGUACUAACCCAUUAACCUUGGAAAAUCAACUCUGAUUUGAGUAAGACACUUUAAAAGGUUUUCUACUAGUUUCAACUGUAUUAACAACAAACGAUACAAGGUCAUCAGAGUGAUGGACGGGGUCCCUUACGAUGAGGCCAUCUGCGUUUAGUUAGCUGGUGACAGUAUGACAAAGGGCAGGUAUAUGAAGAUGCAUACCUGUCCAGGAAAGACCAUUCUCCCAGAAAAGAGAGUUGCAUUCAGGCUUGACAUGAGCAGUAAAACCACAUCAUUGGUACCAAAGGAUCUGAGGAGGAAAAUACUUAGACUUGAAGAAGAAAGAAAGCCUUGAUUCAAGUCCUAAAUGGGCUGUGUUUUAUCCAGUGUUCUGAACAUCGCUGUGCUCUCUUCAGUCAUGGCAUCUGCUGCUCAAGAACCGACAAUGGGACUCCCCACUGCUUACUGAAUCAAAUCCAGAUACUUCAUCCUGACUUUUAAAAAAAAUAAUUAUACUGUAAUUUACUAAAUUUCUCCUAUCUGUGCAAACAUACUUUGAAAGCAAAUAACUAAAAGCAGAUGUUAUUAUUUUACUUUGAAAUAAAAAUUUCUUUACCUUGUGAAUAAAAAAGGCU